UACGUAGGGCGCAAGCGUUGUCCGGAAUUAUUGGGCGUAAAGAGCUCGUAGGCGGCUUGUCACGUCGGGUGUGAAAGCCCGGGGCUUAACCCCGGGUCUGCAUUUGAAACUGCGCUGCUCGGGUGCGGAAGAGGGAAGCGGAAUUUCCGGUGUAGCGGUGAAAUGCGUAGAUAUCAGUCGGAACACCGGUGGCGAAGGCGGCUUCUUGGGCCGUUUCUGACGCUGAGGCGCGAAAGCCAGGGGAGCGAACGGG
rnacentral:rRNA from 1 species